CUUCCGGCGUUAAUCACAACGGAUAAAGAACCUGUCGCAGUAGGUGUCUCGCGCCCGGCAAACGAAACUCCUUCCACUUUUUUUGGUGUAUAAGAGAUUCCAUGCAAAUUUCGUCUCGGGGUCUGAAAUCUUCUUAAAUUUCUUGUAAACGACUUCAUAUUACCUAUUUAGGACUUUUCGAAAAAGUUUUUAAUCGGUGUUUACUAAAUUACGCUGCUUGCAACAGAGGUGGGAGUUGGGAGUGGGUAUCUUAGGGAUCCGCCUAAAUCGGCUGCAAGAGGAUAUGACAAAGUUUGAAUUGGCCAGUUGCGUUAUAAUGGAGAAACUAGGAUUUGCAGCGUUUAAGUUCUUCCAAUUUAAUGAAUCAAAAAAAGAAAUUUGAUUUUUAUUUCAUUAUGGUUUUGACUGCUUCAAAUGCCAAUGGUGCAGAAUAUGAUCGUCUUAAAAAAAACCUACUGAUGGCGGAAAAGAAUUGCUUUAUAGAACUUGUAGGCAAAAAUAUCAAUCUGUAA